AGGAUAUGCCCCUGUCAUGGUUCCCCGGAGCAGUCGACCUGCGCCCCCGGGGCUAAGAGGGAAUCCGGUGCGCCCAUGGCAAUGCCGGAGCUGCCCCCGCAACUGUAAGCGGCGAGCCGCUGUCCACGAUGUCACUGAGGCGAAAGCCUCGGGAAGACGGACAGCGGCGACGACCCGCAAGCCAGGAGACCUGCCACGACGAAUAACGUCCA
rnacentral:ncRNA from 2 species